UCAACCCUCAAGCACCGCUUGGUUUUGGGGCCCCACGGCACACGUGGGCCCUUAAAGGUAGUGGCGGACCCUCCCGGAGCCUCCUUUGCGUAGUAACUAACGUCUCGCACUGGGAUUCGGAGGGACUCUUGCCGUAAAACCCCCCCAUUUUUUACAGGU
rnacentral:misc_RNA from 1 species